rnacentral:rRNA from 1 species
UACGUAGGGGGCAAGCGUUGUCCGGAUUUAUUGGGCGUAAAGAGCGUGUAGGCGGUCUGGUAGGUCCGCUGUGAAAACUCGAGGCUCAACCUCGAGACGCCGAUGGAAACCAUCUGACUAGAGUCCGGAAGAGGAGAGUGGAAUUCCCGGUGUAGCGGUGAAAUGCGCAGAUAUCGGGAAGAACACCCGUGGCGAAGGCGACUUACUGGACAAAUAUUGACGCUGAGGUGCGAAAGCGUGGGGAGCAAGCAGG